CUACGGGUUGCAGCAGUGGGGAAUAUUGCACAAUGGAGGAAACUCUGAUGCAGCAACGCCGCGUGGAGGAUGACACUUUUCGGAGCGUAAACUCCUUUUAUAUAGGAAGAAGAUGACGGUACUAUAUGAAUAAGCGCCGGCUAACUCCGUGCCAGCAGCCGCGGUAAUACGGAGGGCGCAAGCGUUACUCGGAAUCACUGGGCGUAAAGAGCGUGUAGGCGGAUUAAAAAGUCAGAAGUGAAAUCCUAUAGCUUAACUAUAGAACUGCUUCUGAAACUCUUAAUCUAGAAUAUGGGAGAGGUAGAUGGAAUUUCUGGUGUAGGGGUAAAAUCCGUAGAGAUCAGAAGGAAUACCGAUUGCGAAGGCGAUCUACUAGAACAUUAUUGACGCUGAGACGCGAAAGCGUGGGGAGCAAACAGGAUCAGAUACCCCGGUAGCC
rnacentral:rRNA from 1 species